UGGGGAAUUUUCCGCAAUGGGCGAAAGCCUGACGGAGCAACGCCGCGUGAGGGAGGAAGGUCUUUGGAUUGUAAACCUCUUUUCUCAAGGAAGAAGUUCUGACGGUACUUGAGGAAUCAGCCUCGGCUAACUCCGUG
rnacentral:rRNA from 1 species